rnacentral:misc_RNA from 1 species
GGAUGAAGAACGUAGCGAAAUGCGAUAAGUAAUGUGAAUUGCAGAAUUCAGUGAAUCAUCGAAUCUUUGAACGCACAUUGCGCCCGCCAGUAUUCUGGCGGGCAUGCCUGUUCGAGCGUCAUUUCAACCCUCAAGACCCCUUCGGGGGACUUGGUGUUGGGGACCGGCACAGGGGCCUGCCUGCUUGUCUUGCAGCGCCCUCGCCGCCCCCGAAAUGAAUUGGCGGCCUCGUCGCGGCCUCCCCUGCGUAGUAGCACAACCUCGCAACGGGAACGUGACGGCGGCCACUGCCGUAAAACAACCCCAAUUUUAUUAGAGUUGACCUCGAAUCAGGUAGGAAUACCCGCUGAACUUAAGCAUAUCAAUAAGCGGAGGA